rnacentral:rRNA from 1 species
CCUACGGGAGGCAGCAGUGAGGAAUAUUGGUCAAUGGGCGUAAGCCUGAACCAGCCAAGUCGCGUGAGGGAUGAAGGCCCUACGGAUCGUAAACCUCUUUUACAAGGGAAUAAGGUGUGGGACGUGUCCAGUUUUGUAUGUACCUUAUGAAUAAGGAUCGGCUAACUCCGUGCCAGCAGCCGCGGUAAUACGGAGGAUCCGAGCGUUAUCCGGAUUUAUUGGGUUUAACGGGUGCGUAGGCGGCAUGUUAAGUCAGGGGUGAAAGUCUGUGGCUCAACCAUAGAAUUGCCGUUGAAACUGGGAGUCUUGAGUGUGUGUGAGGCAGGCGGAAUGCGUGGUGUAGCGGUGAAAUGCUUAGAUAUCACGCAGAACCCCGAUGGCGAAGGCAGCCUACC